rnacentral:rRNA from 1 species
AUUGAACGCUGGCGGCAGGCUUAACACAUGCAAGUCGAGCGGGGUGAUGGUGCUUGCACUAUCACUUAGCGGCGGACGGGUGAGUAAUGCUUAGGAAUCUGCCUAUUAGUGGGGGACAACAUCUCGAAAGGGAUGCUAAUACCGCAUACGUCCUACGGGAGAAAGCAGGGGAUCACUUGUGACCUUGCGCUAAUAGAUGAGCCUAAGUCGGAUUAGCUAGUUGGUGGGGUAAAGGCCUACCAAGGCGACGAUCUGUAGCGGGUCUGAGAGGAUGAUCCGCCACACUGGGGCUGAGACACGGCCCAGACUCCUACGGGAGGCAGCAGUGGGGAAUAUUGGAGAAUGAGGGGAACCCUGAUCCAGCCAUGCCGGGUGUGUGAAGAAGGCCUUAUGGUUGUAAAGCACUUUAAGCGAGGAGGAGGCUCUUUUGGUUAAUACCCAAGAUGAGUGGACGUUACUCGCAGAAUAAGCACCGGCUAACUCUGUGCCAGCAGCCGCCGUAA